UCUAUAUCGCCUCAGGCCCUCAACACAGUGCUCAAGCAAAGAAAUUCAUGGUAGCCAUCUCCAUCCACAGUUUGAAGAUUACAAAGAAAGCAACCGUAGUGGAAGAACAUUGAUAUCAAUUUCAGGACUCUUUGUGUGGACUUUGCAGGUUAGUAUGUGUUUUGUUGUUUUCUUUAAUAGUAUGGAGGUAUUAGUCUUUAAUAGUAUGAGGGUAUAAUUCUUGUUUGCUAUAUGUAUAGGUUAUAUACUUAAUGGAUAAAAGUUGGAUAAAUAUAUUGAAUAGGCUUGAUCCUUUA